GAGCCAGUGUUGUGUAGUGGUUCGAGUGUUGGACUUUGACUCUGGAGACCAGGGUUCGAUUCCAGGCUGGUCCA